rnacentral:rRNA from 1 species
UGCGGUGCAUUAGCUAGUUGGUAGGGGUAACGGGCCUACCCAAGGCGAUGAUACAUAGCCCGAGUUGAGAGACUGAUCGGCCACAUUGGGGACUGAGACACGGGCCCAAACUCCUACGGGAGGCAGCAGUAGGGAAUCUUCCACAAUGGACGCAAGUCUGAUGGAGCAAACGCCGCGUGAGUGAAGAAGGGUUUCGGCUCGUAAAAAGCUCUGUUGUUGGUGAAGAAGGACAGGGGUAGUAACUGACCCUUUGUUUGACGGUAAUCAAUUAGAAAGUCACGGGCUAACUACGUGCCAGCAGCCGCGGUAAAU